GACGACGCUGGCGGCGUGGAUUAGGCAUGCAAGUCGAACGGUAUCAUCCUUCGGGGAUGAGAGAGUGGCGAACGGGUGAGUAACACGUAGGUGAUCUACCCUCAAGACGGGACAACCCAGGGAAACUUGGGCUAAUACCGGAUGUGAGCUAUCGCGAGAUAGUUUGAAAGGUGGCUUCGGCUGCCGCUUGGGGAUGAGCCUGCGUCCUAUUAGCUAGUUGGUGAGGUAACGGCUCACCGAGGCAGUGAUAGGUAGGCGGCCUUAACGGGUGGUCGCCCACACUGGGAUUGAGAUACGGCCCAGACUCCUACGGGAGGCAGCAGUCGAGAAUAGUCUACAAUGGUCGAAAGACUGAUAGUGCGACGCCGCGUGAACGAAGAAGCCCUUCGGGGUGUAAAGUUCUUUUAUAUGUGAGCAGUGACAUCUAUAUUAAUAGUAUGGGUGUAGAGAUAUUAGCAUAUGAAUAAGCAACGGCUAACUCCGUG
rnacentral:rRNA from 1 species